rnacentral:rRNA from 1 species
CCUUCGGGUUGUAAAGCUCUUUCGGCCGGGAAGAAAUCGCAUGGGUCAAUACCCUGUGUGGAUGACGGUACCGGAAUAAGAAGCACCGGCUAACUACGUGCCAGCAGCCGCGGUAAUACGUAGGGUGCGAGCGUUAAUCGGAAUUACUGGGCGUAAAGCGUGCGCAGGCGGUUUGGUAAGUCAGAUGUGAAAUCCCCGGGCUCAACCUGGGAACUGCAUUUGAGACUGCCAAGCUGGAGUUUGGCAGGAGGGGGGUGGAAUUCCACGUGUAGCAGUGAAAUGCGUAGAGAUGUGGAGGAACACCGAUGGCGAAGGCAGCCCCCUGGGCCAAUACUGACGCUCAUGCACGAAAGCGUGGGGAGCAAACAGGAUUAGACUACCCUGGUACGUCCACGCCCUAAACGA